rnacentral:rRNA from 1 species
GACGAACGCUGGCGGCGUGCUUAACACAUGCAAGUCGAACGGUAAGGCCCUUCGGGGUACACGAGUGGCGAACGGGUGAGUAACACGUGGGUGAUCUGCCCUGCACUUCGGGAUAAGCCUGGGAAACUGGGUCUAAUACCGGAUAGGACUCCGGACUGCAUGGUCUGGGGUGGAAAGCUUUUGCGGUGUGGGAUGGGCCCGCGGCCUAUCAGCUUGUUGGUGGGGUGAUGGCCUACCAAGGCGACGACGGGUAGCCGGCCUGAGAGGGUGACCGGCCACACUGGGACUGUGAUACGGCCCAGACUCCUACGGGAGGCAGAAGUGGGGAAUAUUGCACAAUGGGCGCAAGCCUGAUGCAGCGACGCCGCGUGAGGGAUGACGGCCUUCGGGUUGUAAACCUCUUUCAGCACAGACGAAGCGCAAGUGACGGUAUGUGCAGAAGAAGGACCGGCCAACUACGUGCCAGCCGCCGCGGUAA